UUUCACUGCUGCUGAUUAUUUCAGCCACCGUAUCCUUCGCAUCAGCACGAUUUCUCUUGUUUCCUGCCAAGUCUUUCCUUACCCAUACAUUUCUAACAGUCUUAGCUAGGUUUUUCAUAGAUGGAUCGUUGAAAGAAGCUAGAAAGCUCACCUUGCCAUCGUCUCUGUACUCUAGGUUGGCUAGCACAUCAAAUUAAGAUUUGUUAAUGAAGCUAGAUCCUCGAUUUGGGUGAUUUUGCUGAUUACCCAUUGGAUUCUUUGGUUUUCAUGCUUGGGCUGGUCUUCGAAACUUCAUCCACUCCCCACAAGUUUCGUCUGGCGAGAGGAUCCAUGAUAGCAUCUUGAGAUUUUGAAGCUGAGAAAACGAAAUCAGACUUGGAGUUCAUUGCAGAAAAUGAUUAUUUGACGAUGAAGAUUGAAGACGUUUCCAAUCUCACAAUUUAAGAAGCAUAUUUUGACACAUAGGAUGAGAUUGAGAAGGGGAAGAAGACGGGAUUCUUUUGCAAACUGAUGCAAUGGGUUUUGUUUCAUGUAGGCUGUAGUUAUACGGGGGAACGGAUUGCAUGUUUCUCUUUUUUUAAAAAAAUAUCUUAUUUAACUAAUAAAACAUUGGUUGAGUUA